rnacentral:rRNA from 1 species
CAGCAGCCGCGGUAAUACGAAGGGGGCUAGCGUUACUCGGAAUUACUGGGCGUAAAGGGCGCGUAGGCGGCACGAUUAGUCAGGCGUGAAAUUCCUGGGCUCAACCCAGAGUCUGCACGGGAAACUGUCGGGCUAGAGGAUGGGAGAGGUGAGUGGAAUUUCCGGUGUAGCGGUGAAAUGCGUAGAUAUCGGAAGGAACACCUGUGGCGAAAGCGGCUCACUGGACAAUAACUGACGCUGAUGCACGAAAGCUAGGGGAGCAAACAGGAUUAGAUACCCCUGUAGUCCCUGUCUCUUAUAC